UUCCAUUUUAACUACGAAAUGAUUUUCUUUAUUUAAGGUUGACUUUAUCCUAAUUGAAUUUGAAUUAAUGAAUUUUAAUUAAAGUUUGUAAAAUUAUGACAAUAUUAGGUUAUUGACUUAAGAGAAAAUAAGAAAACAGUAUAAUUGGUAUCUAAAUUAUCAGAAAAAAGGUUUUCAGUUUUUUAAAAUAUAAUCAAACAAACAAAAUCGAAUUUCCUUUAAUUUUUUCCUCCAUCUUAUUUUAUUUUCUUCCCUUACCGUUCCACUUCCUCUCUUCUUUCUCUCUUAUUUUUCCUUUUUUCUCCUCCUUGUGUCGCCUAAACUCCUAGGUUUUUUCCCAUGUCUGUCACCCUCUCCUCUUCUUUGUGUGGUGCCGUUUUGCUUCCCUUUCUCCUCUCCUUUUGUUGCUGUUUUUGCAGUCAAUUCAUUGUUAUUUCUGGCCUCCAGAAUCAUUCCUUUUGUUGCCAAAAGUUCCUCUUUUGUUCUGCCCUAAUCAGAUCUCUUUUGUCAUCACCUGUAGGGGUGUUCUGCCCUUUGAUCACCACUUUUGGAGUUGCCAUUUUUCGUUCUUUUACUGCACUAUCUGAUAUCUUAUUCCAUCAUUUAUUCCUUGUUUAUAACAGCCCCAAAAUUUUCAAUUGAGUGUGCAUUCAAUCUCUUUUAGGUUGUUGAUUCAAAUCUAGGAAAUGAUAUCUGUAAAUGCGAAUUAUUCCGUUUAAAAUUUGUUGUUUUGGGUUGGUUGUUCUAGGGCCUUAGAUUGAUUUUUACGUACUGAUUUUUAAUAAUAUUUUGGUAUUAGUUAUUGAUUUUAACACCCCGGUUCAGCAGUGAAGUCAGAUCUUAGCCGCACUAUCGUUUUGGGUUAAAAUAAUCUAAGUUCACUUAUGGUUUCGGAUCUGAAAAUUUGGUGAUGUGGCACUGCCUUGGCCGAACCCUUGGGGUGUUUCAAGGUUGGAUUUUAUCGAUAAUUUAACGUAUUAGGUGCUAUUUUUUUGGAUUUAGGUUUGUUUAAGGCUUAAGUGCGGAAGUGCAAAUUUUUACGGGUUAUGACUGCAAAUUGCAAAUUAAGGGAAACCUCGAAACUAGGACCGGACCCGACAUACGGAGUAUCACCUCGAACACCGGAUUAUUUUUAAAUAAGUAUUUUUAAUAAAUUUUUUAUUGGUUUUGGAUUGUAAUUUUAAGUUUCUAAUUUGUGGUUUGAUUUUUUUGUUUUGGGACUUCUAUCAUGCAUUAUUCAUUCGAAUGGUUCGGAUUUAAUAACCAGUAAUUGUAUGUUAUUCGACCUAAGUAAAA